CACGUGAGCAAUCUGCCCCAAAGACUGGGAUAACACCGGGAAACCGGUGCUAAUACCGGAUACCCCCAUCUGAUCGCAUGGUCGGAUGAAGAAAUGGAUUCCGCUUUGGGAGGAGCUCGCGGCCUAUCAGCUUGUUGGUGGGGUAAUGGCCUACCAAGGCUUCUACGGGUAGCUGGUCUGAGAGGACGAUCAGCCACACUGGGACUGAGACACGGCCCAGACUCCUACGGGAGGCAGCAGUGGGGGAUCUUGCGCAAUGGGCGAAAGCCUGACGCAGCAACGCCGCGUGAGGGACGAAUGCUUUCUGAGUUGUAAACCUCUUUCAGCAGGGACGAUAAUGACGGUACCUGCAGAAGAAGCACCGGCCAACUACGUGCCAGCAGCCGCGGUGAUACGUAGGGUGCAAGCGUUGUCCGGAUUUAUUGGGCGUAAAGAGCUCGUAGGCGGUUUGAUAAGUCGGGUGUGAAACCUCCAGGCUCAACCUGGAGACGCCACUCGAUACUGUCAUGACUAGAGUUUGGUAGGGGACCACGGAAUUCCUGGUG
rnacentral:rRNA from 1 species